UUUCUCGUUUUUGGAUUGGUAUAGGUGAGGAUUCAAUUGGGUCAGGGAUCAGCAGGCUCGGUAGCGAGGAACAUGCUUAAGGAGGAGGGCUUUGGUGCCUUUUACAAGGGGCUAUCUGCUGGACUACUCAGACAAGCAACAUAUACCACAGCACGACUUGGAUCAUGCAAACUGGAUAUUUUAUAAUGGCAUGGUCUAUAUGUACUAC